CUUUAUUUUAAAUUUUUUUUUAUUUAAGUAGUGUAAAUAAUUAUAUAUUAUAGUAAAUUUGAAACUUAAAAAGCUUGGCGNUACUAUAUAUCCUUUCAGGGGAGCUUGUUUAUUAAUUUGAUAAUCCUCAAUUAAUCUUACUUUUUUUUGAAUAUAUAACAGUUUGUAUAUUGCUGUCAUCAGUUUAUUUCGUGAGGAUUAAUUAAAAAAACUUAAAAGUGAUUUUGCUAAUAUGUCAAGUCAAAAUGCAGCUAAUGAAAAAGGUUUAAAAUUAAAAUGAGCUACAAUUUAUAAUUUUUAAUUGGAUUAAAUAAUGUAAUAUAUUUUUGAAAUUGGACUUGAUAGUAAUAUAAUUAAUUAGAUAUGUUUAUAUGAAUUUGGUUUUAUAGUGUGU
rnacentral:rRNA from 1 species